rnacentral:rRNA from 1 species
AUUGAACGCUGGCGGAAUGCUUUACACAUGCAAGUCGAACGGUAGGGGGGGCAACCCCUCGAGAGUGGCGAACGGGUGAGUAAUAUAACGGAACGUGCCCCGUCGGGGUGGAUAACGUAGCGAAAGUUACGCUAAUAACGCAUACGAUCUACGGAUGAAAGCGGGGGACUGUAAGGCCUCGCGCGAUUGGAGCUGCCGAUGUCAGAUUAGGUAGUUGGUGAGGUAAAGGGACACCAAGCCGCCGAUCUGUAGCUGGUCUUAGAGGGUAACCAGCCACACUGGGACUGAGACAAGGCCCAGAAUCCUACGGGAGGCAACAGUGGGGAAUUUUGGACAAGGGACGCAAGUCUGAUCCAGCCAUUCCGCGUGCAGGACGAAGGCCUUCGGGUUGUAAACUGCUUUUGUACGGAACGAAAAAGCUCUUACUAAUACUAGGACUCCAUGACGGUACCGUAAGAAUAAGCACCGGCUAACUACGCGCCAGCCGCCGCGGUAA